rnacentral:rRNA from 1 species
GACGAACGCUGGCGGCGUGCUUAACACAUGCAAGUCGAACGGAAAGGCCCUGCUUGCAGGGUGCUCGAGUGGCGAACGGGUGAGUAACACGUGGGUGAUCUGCCCCUUACUUUGGGAUAAGCCUGGGAAACUGGGUCUAAUACUGGAUAGGACCAUGCUGUAGGUGGUGUGGUGGAAAGAUUAGUUUCGGUAAGGGAUGAGCUCGCGGCCUAUCAGCUUGUUGGUGGGGUAAUGGCCUACCAAGGCGUCGACGGGUAGCCGGCCUGAGAGGGUGGACGGCCACAUUGGGACUGAGAUACGGCCCAGAAGCCUACGGGAGGCAGCAGUGGGGAAUAUUGCACAAUGGGAGCAAGCCUGAUGCAGCGACGCCGCGUGGGGGAUGACGGCCUUCGGGUUGUAAACUCCCUUCAGCCAUGACGAAGCCCUUGUGGUGACGGUAGUGGUAGAAGAAGCACCGGCUAACUACGUG